UGAAAUUUUGAUACUGUUAUCUCAUUCGCAAUCAUAAUCGAUUGAUAGACUUUCAGAUUUUCAAAAUUAAUGAUCAAAGAAUCACACCACUAUUUUCCUAUAGAGCUAGCGUGGUUAAAUAUGAAGGAGUUUGACUGUGGUCUAUGGAGAACAAAUUAAAACAAUGGAGAAUAAAGCAAAUCGAUUAAACAGUGAAAAAAAAAUAAAAACAGUGAGAAAUCGGAAGAUGGUAGAGAAACCAAAAUAAUGGAGGUUACUGGACUAUGGAGAAACCAAAACGAUUGUGGAAAACCCAAAACAAUGAAGUUCACCGAACUGUAGAGAAACCAAAAUGAUGGUGGAGAACCCAAAGAUGGGUUGUGGAGUCUUACCUAGCUUGGAGGUCACCGGAUUGGACUUAUUAAGGUCUAGCCUCAAGUCUUUGCUGCCUUGGAAGUCACACCUUAAGGUCUAGCCGAAUGGAAGUCACACCUCGUCGGACUGAAUUCUCUCGCUCGCCGAACUGGACUACAGGGCAAGCCACAAAUCAUCCCCGCUCGCCCGAAGAGGGUCUCGCCGGACUGGAUUCUCAUGCUCGCCGGAUUGGAUUGUCUGGCUUGCCAUUUCCCGUUGGCCAUAGAAUCGUUCGCUGUGGGAG
rnacentral:lncRNA from 1 species